UGUGCCCUCUAGAGAUUUAAGAAGGUAAGAUUGGACAAUCAAUGUGCCCUCUAGAGAUUUAAGAAGGUAAGAUUGGACAAUCAAUGUGCCCUCUAGAGAUUUAAGAAGGUAAGAUUGGACAAUCAAUGUGCCCUCUAGAGAUUUAAGAAGGUAAGAUUGGACAAUCAAUGUGCCCUCUAGAGAUUUAAGAAGGUAAGAUUGGACAAUCAAUGUGCCCUCUAGAGAUUUAAGAAGGUAAGAUUGGACAAUCAAUGUGCCCUCUAGAGAUUUAAGAAGGUAAGAUUGGACAAUCAAUGAGCCCUCUAGAGAUUUAAGAAGGUUAGAUUGGACAAUCAAUGUGUCCUCUAGAGAUUUAAGAAGGUAAAUGUUGACUGACGACAGCACACCAUGAGCACGUUGUUCUCAGGUGAGCUAAAAAUGAAGAAAAGGAAAACGAAACACUGGUGCAGUUUUAAGAACAACAAGU